rnacentral:rRNA from 1 species
UACGGAGGGGGGCUAGUGUUGUUCGGAAUUAUUGGGCGUAAAGGGCGCGUAGGCGGCCUUUCAAGUGACGGGUGAAAGCCCUCGGCUUAACCGAGGAACUGCCUGUCAGACUGGAAGGCUUGAGACCGGGAGAGGUGAGUGGAAUUCCCCAGUGUAGCGGUGAAAUGCGUAGAUAUUGGGAGGAACACCAGUGGCGAAGGCGGCUCACUGGACCGG